UAAAAGUGAAAGAAGAAACUGAGUUCUUUGUUUUCUUUUGUGACUAGCGACUUCUGGUAGUAAAAGCCUGCAAUUGGUUCAAGUGGCUGAAGAAGAUGGUUGAAUCGGGGCUGUUGAUGGGCGUGUUGAGAGUGGUCGUCAUUUGAGUGAGGUGAAGAAGCAAGUUGCGGCUGUUGGUGUUAGAGUGUGUUAAGAGGAAGUUCAGGUGGAGUCGUGGCUGCCGUGUUUUGGCGUGCUACUGUGAGCAGAGCGGCGACAGAACUGGAGUGAGGGAAGAGAUGACAAAGGCGAGUUCCUUAAGCGGUGAUUAGGAUCCGCAACGGCUGGUUCAUUUAGGUUUAAGGAGUGUAGGGGUUUUG
rnacentral:lncRNA from 1 species